AGCAGCCGCGGUAAUUCCAGCUCCAAUAGCGUAUAUUAAAGUUGUUGCAGUUAAAAAGCUCGUAGUUGAAUUUCGGGAUCAGUAUGUUGGUCGUGCUUCGGUACGUACUGUCAUUACUGGUUUCUACCUUCUGAAGAACCUUGAUGUCAUUAAUUUGGUGUCUUGGGGAAUCAGGACUGUUACUUUGAAAAAAUUGGAGUGUUUAAAGCAAGCAUACGCUUGAAUACAUUAGCAUGGAAUAAUGAAAUAGGACGUUUGAUUCUAUUUUGUUGGUUUCUAGGAUCGACGUAAUGAUUAAUAGGGAUAGUUGGGGGCAUUAGUAUUCAAUUGUCAGAGGUGAAAUUCUUGGAUUUAUUGAAGACUAACUACUGCGAAAGCAUUUGCCAAGGAUGUUUUCAUUAAUCAAGAACGAAAGUUAGGGGAUCGAGGACGAUCAGAUACCGUCGUAGU
rnacentral:rRNA from 1 species